rnacentral:rRNA from 1 species
UACGUAGGGGGCUAGCGUUGUCCGGAAUCAUUGGGCGUAAAGAGCGUGUAGGCGGUUCGAUAAGUCUGCUGUGAAAGUCCAAGGCUCAACCUUGGGAUGCCGGUGGAUACUGUCGAACUCGAGUCCGGAAGAGGAGUGUGGAAUUCCUGGUGUAGCGGUGAAAUGCGCAGAUAUCAGGAGGAACACCGAUGGCGAAGGCAGCACUCUGGGACGUGACUGACGCUGAGACGCGAAAGCGUGGGGAGCAAACAGG